UAAAUAAGAAACAAAAAUUGUAUUUAGUUUCGACCUAAACCCUUGAUGUUAAACAUCCUUAUUU
rnacentral:tRNA from 1 species